UGCCCCCGUAGCUCAGGCGGAUAGAGCGACGGUUUCCUAAACCGCAGGCCGCAUGUUCGAGUCAUGCCGGGGGCAU
rnacentral:tRNA from 1 species